AAUGAACGCUGGCGGCAGGCCUAACACAUGCAAGUCGAACGAGUGGCGGACGGGUGAGCAAUGUCGGGGCAACUGCUUGAUGGAGGGGUACAACUACUGGAAACGGUAGCUAAUUCCGCAUACCACCAUAUGUGCCCAGAUGGGAUUAGUUUGUUGGCGGGGUAACGGCGCACCAAGGCGACGAUCCCUAGCUGGUCUGCUAGGAUGACCAGCAACACUGGAACUGAGAAACGGUCCAGACUCCUACGGGAGGCAGCAGUGGGGAAUAUUGCACAAUGGGCGAAAGCCUGAUGCAGCCAUGCCGCGUGUGUGAAGAAGGCCUUCGGGUUGUAAAGCACUUUCGGCAGGGAAGCGUUACCCGCAGAAGAAGCACCGGCUAACUCCGUGCCAGCAGCCGCGGUAAUUC
rnacentral:rRNA from 1 species